rnacentral:rRNA from 1 species
AGAGUUUGAUCAUGGCUCAGAAUCAACGCUGGCGGCGUGCCUAACACAUGCAAGCCGCACGAGAAAGGGACUUCGGUCCUGAGUACAGUGGCGCACGGGUGAGUAACACGUGAAUCAUCUACCUUCGAGUGGGGAAUAACUGGGAGAAAUCCUGGCUAAUACCGCAUAAUACCUACGGGUCAAAGCAGCAAUGCGCUUGAAGAGGAGUUCGCGGCAGAUUAGUUAGUUGGCGGGGUAAUGGCCCACCAAGACGAUGAUCUGUAUCCGGCCUGAGAGGGCGCACGGACACACUGGAACUGAAACACGGUCCAGACUCCUACGGGAGGCAGCAGUGGGGAAUUUUGCGCAAUGGGGGAAACCCUGACGCAGCAACGCCGCGUGGAGGAUGAAAUCCCUUGGGAUGUAAACUCCUUUCGAUAGGGAAGAUAAUGACGGUACCUAUAGAAGAAGCCCCGGCUAACUUCGUGCCAGCAGCCGCGGUAAUACGAGGGGGGCAAGCGUUGUUCGGAAUUAUUGGGCGUAAAGGGUGCGUAGGCGGUUUGACAAGUCUUAUGUGAAAUCUAUGGGCUCAACCCAUAGUCUGCAUAGGAAACUGUCGGGCUUGAGUAUGGGAGAGGUGAGUGGAAUUUCCGGUGUAGCGGUGAAAUGCGUAGAUAUCGGAAGGAACACCUGUGGCGAAAGCGGCUCACUGGACCAUAACUGACGCUGAUGCACGAAAGCUAGGGGAGCAAACAGGAUUAGAUACCCUGGUAGUCCUAGCCCUAAACGAUG